rnacentral:lncRNA from 1 species
UUUGGAAAUGCAUUAGUAUUGAACAAUUUAAUUUGUAAACAACAAAUAUUAUAACAAAAAAAAAAAAAGGAAGAAAGAAAGAAAGUGCAAUUAAUGAAUGUUAUUAAAUACAUCAAUGGAUAGGUUUACAUUCAUACACUCAAUCAACACAACCUUCCUUCAUUAUUCAGAAAAAGAAAAAUGAAAGGAGAGAGCAAUUAAGUAAAGUAAUUAAGAAGAAAUAAUAAUGAAAUUCGGACCAGGAGUGCUUAAUUCCCCAUGGAUAUGUGAGCUACAAUUAAGAGCCCUCAAAGUUGAUUAUGGAAAUAUCAGCUUCCAUAUCCUGCAACUACUGCUAUGUUGAUGAUGAAUCUGUCCAAAGUCAAGUUGGAGAAAGAGAUUAUAUAUAUAGAACAAGACAUUCUUCAACUUUAACAUAAUGAUGAAUGAAUCAAUUGUUUUAACAACUAAAAGUAGUAGAUAUUGUAAGAUAUAAAUUAUGUUUGUAUGUAAUAUAUAGAGAGAGGCAGGGUUGUGAUGCACGCAUAGUGUCUGUGGAGAGAGGCUAAUCUUAUAUUCCCGCAUGCAAGUUUUUAUCUUUAAUGUACAGUGUGGGCACGUUUCCACAAUGAAAAAGGGAAACAGUGAAAGGGAUAUGUUUUCUUCAACUGCAAAUGCAAUAUCACAUAUAUGCUCUAACUUGAAUCAACUUUUCUAAAUUGCUUAAAAUUUCAAAUUUCAC